rnacentral:lncRNA from 1 species
CAACCAUUAGGAUAUGAGAAGAAAGGUGAAGAAGAAAAAGUUUACAAGCUGAAAAAGGCGUUGUAUGGCCUUAAGCAGGCACCAAGAGCAUGGUAUAGCAAGAUAGAAGCAUACUUUGUUCGAGAAGGUUUUGAAAAAUGUUUAAGAAGAAAGGUGAAGAAGAAAAAGUUUACAAGCUGAAAAAGGCGUUGUAUGGCCUUAAGCAGGCACCAAGAGCAUGGUAUAGCAAGAUAGAAGCAUACUU